rnacentral:rRNA from 1 species
UAUUAGAAAGAAUACCAAUUGCGAAGGCAGCUUUCUGGAUCAUUACUGACACUGAGGAACGAAAGCAUGGGUAGCGAAGAGGAUUAGAUACCCUCGUAGUCCAUGCCGUAAACGAUGUGUGUUAGACGUUGGAAAUUUAUUUUCAGUGUCGCAGCGAAAGCGAUAAACACACCGCCUGGGGAGUACGACCGCAAGGUUAAAACUCAAAUGAAUUGACGGGGACCCGCACAAGUAGUGGAGCAUGUGGUUUAAUUCGAAGAUACGCGCAGAACCUUACCAACACUUGACAUGUUCGUCGCGACUCUAAGAGAUUAGAGUUUUCGGUUCGGCCGGACGAAACACAGGUGCUGCAUGGCUGUCGUCAGCUCGUGUCGUGAGAUGUUGGGUUAAGUCCCGCAACGAGCGCAACCCUCACUUUUAGUUGCCAUCAUUUAGUUGGGCACUCUGAAAGAACUGCCAGUGAUAAGCUGGAGGAAGGUGGGGAUGACGUCAAGUCCUCAUGGCCCUUACGUGUUGGGCUACACACGUGCUACAAUGGUAUCUACAACAGGAAGCAAGACGGCGACGUUAAGCAAAUCCUUAAAAGAUACCUCAGCUCGGAUUGCACUCUGCAACUCGAGUGCAUGAAGCUGGAAUUACUAGUAAUCGUGGAUCAGCGUGCCACGGUGAAUGCGUUCCCGGGCCUUGUACACACCGCCCA